GAACCCUCACGACCUUUUACGGUCAACGGAUUUUAAGUCCGUAGCGUCUACC
rnacentral:tRNA from 1 species